rnacentral:rRNA from 1 species
CGUAAGAUUGAUUCAGUAACUUAUAAGAAUGAGAUAUAAUAAUAAUAUAAAUAUAUAAAUAAAUAUAUUUUAUAUAUAUAUAUAUAUAUCAAUUGAUUAAAAAUAAAGUUCAUAAAUAAUAAAAAUAAUGAUAUAAAUUAAUUUAAAUAUUAAAUUUUAAAUAUAAUAUAAUUUUAUUAUAUUAUUUUAAUAAUCCUUGCUAAUAUUUGUGCCAGCAGUAGCGGUAAUACAAAGAGGGUAAGCAUUAAUCAUAAUGGUUUAAAGGAUCCGUAGAAUGAAUAAAUAUCCAAAUUUUAGAGUUAAUAAUAUUUAUUAAAGAAUUAUAAUAGUAAAGAUUAAAUAAUAAUAAUAAUUAUAAGACUGAUAUAUGUGUAAAUAUUAAUAAAAUAUUAACUGACAUUGAGGGAUGAAAAUUAAAGUAGCAAAAUAGAUUCGAUACCUAUGUAGUUUUAAUAGUAAACUAUGAAUACCAUUUAUAAAUAAUAAUAAUAUUUAUAAAUAAAUGAAAAUGUAAGUAUUCCACCUGAAGAGUACGUAUAUGAAACUCAAAACAAUAGACGGUUAUAGUCAACAACAAUGGGGCAU